rnacentral:rRNA from 1 species
UAUAAAGUCUGACCUGCCCAAUGAGGAUUUAAAUGGCCGCGGUAUUUUGACCGUGCAAAGGUAGCAUAAUAAUUAGUUUUUUAAUUGAAAGCUGGAAUGAAUGGUUGGACGAGAAAAUAGCUGUCUCAGAUUAAUUUAAUUAGAAUUUUAUUUUUAAGUAAAAAAGCUUAAAUUUUUUUAAAAGACGAGAAGACCCUAUAGAGCUUUAUAUAUUUAAAAUUAAAUUUAAUUUAGUAUAAUUUAGUUUUUAUUUUUAAAUGUAUUUUAUUGGGGUGAUAAAAAAAUUAAUAAAACUUUUUUUUUAUAUUAACAUUGAUUUAUGAAUUAUUGAUCCAUUUUUUAUGAUUAAAAGAUUAAGUUACCUUAGGGAUAACAGCGUAAUUUUUUUUUAGAGUUCUUAUCGAAAAAAGAGAUUGCGACCUCGAUGUUGGAUUAAAAUUAAUAUUUGGUGUAGAAGCUAAAUAAUUGGGUCUGUUCGACCUUUGAAAUUUUACA